UCCGCUUUUGAAACUCUAUAUCCACAAUACUGUCAGGAGAUCUGCUGUUGUAGCCGGAAGACUUUGAUGCUGAGGAAGCUGAAUUGUUAAGGGGGGAAAGAGAGCAAGAAGAAGAAGUUUUUGAGAAUGUUGGUGAAAUAUUGAUAACAUUGAUCAGAGUUUUCAAGGCUACUUUCUUGCCUUUCCUUAAGGAGUUGUCACCAUAUUUGUUACCUAUGUGGGCCAAGGAGACAACAACUAAUGAGAGAUGUACAUCUAUUUGUAUCUUCGAUGCUCUUGUGGAGGUGUGCCCUGAAGAAGCUCUAAAGUACUAUGAUGUUUGUCUUCCAUUAAUUUUUGACGCAAGCAAUGACGAAAAUUCAGCUGUUAGACAGGUUUGUACAUCUUUAGCAGUUGUAACAGUUUUCAGUCAAGUUGCAUUUACUAUUUGAUUUGUCGGAGAACCAUAUGUCAUAUUCAGGCUGUUUUUUAUGGACUUGGACUGUGGGCGGAAUAUGGCGUUCUUCUUUCAAACCUU